rnacentral:rRNA from 1 species
CAGUAGCCGCGGUAAUACGGAGGGAGCUAGCGUUGUUCGGAAUUACCGGGCGUAAAGCGCACGUAGGCGGCUUUGUAAGUUAGAGGUGAAAGCCUGGAGCUCAACUCCAGAACUGCCUUUAAGACUGCAUCGCUUGAAUCCAGGAGAGGUGAGUGGAAUUCCGAGUGUAGAGGUGAAAUUCGUAGAUAUUCGGAAGAACACCAGUGGCGAAGGCGGCUCACUGGACUGGUAUUGACGCUGAGGUGCGAAAGCGUGGGGAGCAAACAGGAUUAGAUACCCCUGUAGUCCCUGUCUCUUAUAA